CCUACGGGAGGCAGCAGUGGGGAAUUUUCCGCAAUGGGCGAAAGCCUGACGGAGCAACGCCGCGUGAGGGAUGAAGGCCUCUGGGCUGUAAACCUCUUUUAUCAAGGAAGAAGAUCUGACGGUACUUGAUGAAUAAGCCACGGCUAAUUCCGUGCCAGCAGCCGCGGUAAUACGGGAGUGGCAAGCGUUAUCCGGAAUUAUUGGGCGUAAAGCGUCCGCAGGCGGUCUGUCAAGUCUGCUGUUAAAGCGUGGAGCUUAACUCCAUUUCGGCAGUGGAAACUGACAGACUAGAGUGUGGUAGGGGCAGAGGGAAUUCCCGGUGUAGCGGUGAAAUGCGUAGAUAUCGGGAAGAACACCAGUGGCGAAGGCGCUCUGCUGGGCCAUAACUGACGCUCAUGGACGAAAGCCAGGGGAGCGAAAGGGUUUAGAUACCCCUGUAGUCCUGGCCGUAAACGAUGAACACUAGGUGUCGGGGGAAUCGACCCCCUCGGUGUCGUAGCCAACGCGUUAAGUGUUCCGCCUGGGGAGUACGCACGCAAGUGUGAAACUCAAAGGAAUUGACGG
rnacentral:rRNA from 1 species